rnacentral:rRNA from 1 species
AACGCGAAGAACCUUACCUACCCUUGACAUCCUGCGAAUUUUGUAGAGAUAUGAGAGUGCCGAAAGGAACGCAGAGACAGGUGCUGCAUGGCUGUCGUCAGCUCGUGUUGUGAGAUGUUGGGUUAAGUCCCGUAACGAGCGCAACCCUUAUCCUUAGUUGCCAGCACGUAAAGGUGGGGACUCUAAGGGGACUGCCGGUGAAGAACCGGAGGAAGGCGGGGACGACGUCAAGUCAUCAUGGCCUUUAUGGGUAGGGCCACACACGUGCUACAAUGGGAAGUACAGAGGGAAGCCAACCUGCGAAGGGGAGCCAAUCUCAAAAAACUUCUCGUAGUCCGGAUUGGAGUCUGCAACUCGACUCCAUGAAGUUGGAAUCGCUAGUAAUCGCGAAUCAGAACGUCGCGGUGAAUACGUUCCCGGGCCUUGUACACACCGUAGUAC